UACGAAGGGGGCUAGCGUUGUUCGGAAUUACUGGGCGUAAAGCGUGCGCAGGCGGUUUUGUAAGUCAGAUGUGAAAGCCCCGGGCUCAACCUGGGAAUGGCAUUUGGGACUGCAAGGCUUGAGUGCGGCAGAGGAGACUGGAAUUCCUGGUGUAGCAGUGAAAUGCGUAGAUAUCAGGAGGAAUACCGAUGGCGAAGGCAGGUCUCUGGGCUGACACUGACGCUCAUGCACGAAAGCGUGGGGAGCAAGCAGG
rnacentral:rRNA from 1 species